rnacentral:lncRNA from 1 species
UAGGCAACCAUACCACACCAACACUAAGUGGAGCAAUUAAGAAGAAGAUUCUACCAUUGGAAAUGUUAGUUGAGCCAAUGCUCCAAUUUUGCCUGCAAAUUUCAUCAUCCAAGCCCUUGCACAAGCAUGCAACAUUGAUGGAGUCACUGCACAGUGUAAAGCCUCUGGUUCUCCUCUACCUGCUCCAGGCCCUGCUAUUCUUGGAUCAAACGGCCCAGCUACCCCACCCAUUGCCAAUUUUCGUACAAGUCCACAAGCUUCAAAAAUGCAAUUGGCAGCAUCAACAGAAGAUGAAGAAGCAGAAGCACCAUCAAAUCCUCCACUUUCUUCACCUUCUCAUCCAUCUUAUGUUGUUUCCAUCUCCCCUUUUGCAUUAUUCCUAUUCAUAGGACUUGUUCUUUCUGCCACCUAUUAACUCAAAUCAACUGUAAUAGUUUCUAUCUUCUUGUAAUAAUAAUAUUGGG